rnacentral:rRNA from 1 species
ACGGAAGGCAGCAGUGAGGAAUAUUGGUCAAUGGACGGAGGCCUGAACCAGCCAAGUCGCGUGAGGGAUGGCGGUCCUAUGGAUUGUAAACCUCUUUUGUCGGGGAGUAACGAGCGGUACGUGAACCGUAUUGAGAGUACCCGAAGAAAAAGCAUCGGCUAACUCCGUGCCAGCAGCCGCGGUAAUACGGAGGAUGCGAGCGUUAUCCGGAUUUAUUGGGUUUAAAGGGUGCGCAGGCGGCGCGUCAAGUCAGCGGUAAAAUGUCGGUGCUUAACGCCGGCCGGCCGUUGAAACUGUCGUGCUCGAGUUCGUGCGAGGAGAGCGGAAUGCGUGGUGUAGCGGUGAAAUGCAUAGAUAUCACGCAGAACGCCGAUUGCGAAGGCAGCUCUCCAGCACUGGACUGACGCUGAGGCACGAAAGCGUGGGGAUCGAACAGGAUUAGAUACCCUGGUA